GGUGGCUCAGUAGUAGAGCACUUGCUUUGCAUGCAUGAGGUCCUGAGUUCCAUUCCUCAGCACCA
rnacentral:tRNA from 1 species